UUGUAGAAAAUUGAUAAGUUGCACCCGCACCUCUUUCCCCAAGUUGGAGCCGAUCUUCACCACGUGCCCUUCAUUCCCAUCAUUCAAGGAAAUUGAGAUAAGAUCUUCUAUUGGCCCACCCCGCUCUUCAGUCAAGUCGUCGCGUGUGUCCAGUCCGUCAACCGAACAGGGGUCAGGCCGUCCACUUCUUUGUAGGGUG
rnacentral:lncRNA from 1 species